rnacentral:rRNA from 2 species
GCAGUCCAAGAAUAUUAGUCAAUGCUCGCAAGAGUGAACGAGCUAACUGAAAGAAUAUAUAAUCUAAGAUUAGGAAUCUUAUAAAAAUUAUUAUAAGAUUAAAGACAAAUCUAACUAACAGUGUCGUCCAAAUUCUGGUGCCAGAAGACUCGGUAAUACCAGAGACGCGAACGUUAAUCAUCUUGAAUGGGCAUAAAGGGUUUGUAGGCGGCUUAUUUAUUAAUAGGCUAGAAUCUUAUAGAGGUUAAUAAAAUACUUAGAGGAGGGCUGAUAUCCUUAGAUCCUAAGUGGAAUCCUAAUUGCGAAGGCCAUUUUCCACUACAGAUUGACGCUGAGACACGAAGGUUAGGAUAGGAACUAGGAUUAGAGACCCUAUUACCCCUAACUGUAAACGAUGAAUGGAAGAUAUUUACAACUGUAAGUGUCGAAGUGAAUACGAUAACCAUUCCGCCUUGCCAGUAUACUUGCAAAAGUGAAAACAAAAAAAUUAGUCGGUCCUAAAGCAAACGAAGUGAAGCAUGUUAUUUAAUUC